rnacentral:rRNA from 1 species
GAUGAACGCUGGCGGCGUGCCUAAUACAUGCAAGUCGAGCGAACAGAUGAGGAGCUUGCUCCUCUGACGUUAGCGGCGGACGGGUGAGUAACACGUGGAUAACCUACCUAUAAGACUGGGAUAACUUCGGGAAACCGGAGCUAAUACCGGAUAAUAUAUUGAACCGCAUGGUUCAAUAGUGAAAGACGGUUUUGCUGUCACUUAUAGAUGGAUCUGCGCCGCAUUAGCUAGUUGGUAAGGUAACGGCUUACCAAGGCAACGAUGCGUAGCCGACCUGAGAGGGUGAUCGGCCACACUGGAACUGAGACACGGUCCAGACUCCUACGGGAGGCAGCAGUAGGGAAUCUUCCGCAAUGGGCGAAAGCCUGACGGAGCAACGCCGCGUGAGUGAUGAAGGUCUUCGGAUCGUAAAACUCUGUUAUUAGGGAAGAACAAAUGUGUAAGUAACUAUGCACGUCUUGACGGUACCUAAUCAGAAAGCCACGGCUAACUACGUG